AGUGAACGCUGGCGGUAGGCCUAACACAUGCCAGUCGAACGGCAGCACAGUAAGAGCUUGCUCUUACGGGUGGCGAGUGGCGGACGGGUGAGGAAUACAUCGGAAUCUACUUUUUCGUGGGGGAUAACGUAGGGAAACUUACGCUAAUACCGCAUACGACCUACGGGUGAAAGCAGGGGAUCUUCGGACCUUGCGCGAUUGAAUGAGCCGCUGUCGGAUUAGCUAGUUGGCGGGGUAAAGGCCCACCAAGGCGACGAUCCGUAGCUGGUCUGAGAGGAUGGUCGGCCACACUGGAACUGAGACACGGUCCAGACUCCUACGGGAGGCAGCAGUGGGGAAUAUUGGGCAAUGGGCGCAAGCCUGAUCCAGCCAUACCGCGUGGGUGAAGAAGGCCUUCGGGUUGUAAAGCCCUUUUGUUGGGAAAGAAAAGCAGCAGGUUAAUACCCCGCUGUUCUGACGGUACCCAAAGAAUAAGCACCGGCUAACUUCGUG
rnacentral:rRNA from 1 species